AUUUCAUAGGAUAGUAUAGGUUGCUAUUUAGCAUUAAUAGGGAAACAGGUGAAAUUCCUGUGCGGUCCCGCCGCCGUAAGGUGUUUUAGUAGUUUAUAAUGCCACUGGGAAACUGGGAAGGCAAACUACUUCUAUAAACCAAGCCGGAAGACCUGCCUAUACUUGCGCAACGAU
rnacentral:ncRNA from 2 species